UAUUUAUCAUAUAAUUAAAAUUGCUUAGAAAACAGCAAAAUUUUUUACUAUCUUAUAUUUUACUCCAAAACUGGAUUUUUCAAUGAAAUUAUUCGAUAUGAAACAGGUUUGAAGUUAACGAUCCUCCCGUGGAGUCUUUAAUGGUGACAUUAGCAGAGUGUGGUUGCUGUGUAUCUACAUAUAUUUAUAUCAGAAAUCAAUCGGAUUGAGUACAUCUACAUCAAGUGAACAGCAGCCGGGUAGAGCAGAAAUUUGAUGGACGCAGCCGAUGAUCCUACAUUAAGAUUAAUGCUAAACCGUUGUAACAGGGAUGAAAUUCACAACAGAAAGGAACGAAUGCUCGCUCGUAUCUUUGUAAAUUGGAUACUUUAGCGAUACUUGUUUACACGCUUUAUUUAGAGCGCAUCAAACUCGCUGACGUUUUAAAUAACGCGGAGAUAGAAAGCACCUUUUUCCAUUUCCCGCUUAUAAAUGAGAGCUGCGAGCAUAUGACGGCUGUGACAGACUUUUAAUGACACGAGCUGAAUAAUCGAUAUCGUUGACGAAAUGGUCUGUAAUUUACCAGACAUCUCUAAAUGCGUUUCCUGUGCUUCACGGACGGAAGACUUGAGAAUCCUCGAAGAACCUUGAUGCACCACCAUAAUCGAGUAUCGUUGAGUAAAUCCAGCGUAGGCUAAAGGUAAUAUUGAUUCGCACUUGCAAUCCAUAUUUAUUUAUUCUACUAAUUUUGUUCAAUGCCAUCACAAGUUGAGAAAUUGAAUAGUUAGAAAUAUACAACAUAUAACAUUAAAUAUAAGACACAAAGACAUUUAUCUUUCGAUAAUUAUAUCGUAAAUAAAACAAGACAUACAGAUUGUUAAAAUCAAUAAAUAUUUCCUUAUAGACAGACUUUUUAGUUAAAAAUUAUAAAAUAAUAAAUCUUUAUAUCUGAAGAUCAUAUAAAUUAUUCAAUUAGUUUAUUCGAUAUCAAACGCAUCAAUAAUUCCUGUAAUAUAGCAAAGAAAGAAGAGCAGUAAUUGCUAAUAUAUCACUUUAACAACAAUUUUAACAUGGAAAAUAACGAGAAAUAUAUUAUUGAGUGAUCCGAGUAUUUCCAGAAUUAUCUAAUAAAAUGAAUAAAUGUUUAAUAUAAGCGAUUUCUUCUUCAAUAUAGGUGACUCCUUAUAAGUACAUUUGUCUGCAAGUUGCAAAUUUAUAUUUUCACAUAAAUAAUAGAUUACACUGUAAAAUGUCUAUGUAUACACGAAUGCUGAGUGUGGUAAUGCAAAGUUAGAGCCUGGAUCAAGUCAAUUUUUUUAUAUUCGACUUUUGAUUUUACAGUUAUCACUUAUAGUCUUAUUUUUUUAUAGCACAAUUAUGAUGCUUAAUACAGUUUUGCUCAUCUCACAUACUCCUAAAACAAAAACGCAACUUAAAUUGCGCUACAUGAUGUAUCCUAGGAUCAGAGACAAUGAGUAAUGUGCACAUAUAUAUUUUCCAAUUGAAGAGAGAAAUAUGCCCAAAACAUACAUACAAAAUACAUCACAAGCUGUCAAUUGUAGCUCUGACCGUAUAGAAUAGUCGCUAGAUUAUACUAAAUCAAAAUAUAUUGAAUGUAAUUUCCUGAAGCCAAUGUACAUGUGUUAUUUUAAUCAUUACAGUGUACAAGCGUAAAAGAGAUAUACAAUAUUGACACAUUCUUUGGUAUAACAAUUAGAGAUAUAAGCUCACAAUUUAAGAUAUUACAAAUAACAUUUGAUUACAAUAGUGCUCAGAGAAGCCAAUUUGUACUAAUUAGAUAUAUAUAUAUAUAUACUUAUAAAUGCGUCAUAAUUUCAUCGAGAAAUAUCAAUGUUAAUGUAUAAUUUCUUUUCCUUGCCAGCUGACGAGUUUUUCAAUAAGUAUAAUAACGUGCACUAUUAAAGCCUAUCCUUAAUUCAUCAUGUAUUUAAAUACCUUAUGUCUCAAGCCUCUGUAAAUUCUGAAAUAUUCAUAAUUACUCUUGCGAAAUAAGGACAGGAAUAUUCGUUAAAAUGGAAUUAUUUUUGGAUCUUAAUAAAGUACAGGUAAUAUUAUCACUGCCAUAUUUGUAUUGAUAUCCUUAUCUAUGGUCUACAACUUAAACAUAUAAUGUUCUUGCGUUAUGUAUUAGAUAUUAGGGAACCUCGGUUAUCAUAAUAUAAAUUGUAAAAAUGUAUUUUUUGAUUUGUUUAUAGCACUAAUAAUGUCUUCAUCUUCAAAAAAGGCCAUAAAUAAUGAUACCAAUAGCCAACAAAUAUGCAACAAGAGAUCUUUUGGUAAUUAUUGUAUAGAAUAUAAAUCUGGUUAAAUAUAGGCCUUCUCAUGGCAUUGAUUAAUAUAUGUUUUAUAUAAUCAUCAUCUUAUACAUCAAUACAUACAUAUAUAUAAUGUAGUUUUUUUAAGUAAUAGGUGUAAAUCACGUCAAAUUAAUUGAACUGGUACAUCAGCGUCCAUGAGCCACUAUCGAUAGAAUGGAAUUUUGAUCAUUAGUGCACAUUACAUUACAGUACACAAUACAUAUGAAACAAAUAUAAAACAUUAACUCGAAGUGCCUGCUCCUCUCCCGCUUUAUCUCCUGAUUAAUAACCUUACUUAAUACAAUUAUUUUACGACGUGCUGGGAGACAAGCCUUUAGCUAGAUUUUACAAUGUAAGUAAAGUUAAAUUAUGUUAUUCAUACUUUAAAUAAAAAGUAAAUAAAACGUAAAAGAUUGUACAUAAAACUUAAUGGAAUCUCAUAGAUAUCAGUUUAAAAUAAUAUCCCAUAUUAUGCAUAGAAAGUAAAACUAUAUUACGUGAUGUGCAAGAACGAAAAUGGUUAUAUAUAUAUAUUUAUAUAUAUAAUGAUUAUAUAAAUAAUAAUUGCAUAGAAUGUCCGUUGCUUUAGAAUUAAAUCCGCCAGAAAUAUGUUAAAGAGUGAUACAACUUCAUUCAUAUCUUUACGAGAAUUUGUAAAUAAAGACUUUAUUAAUGCUUCAUGAUUUUAGUGAUGUAUAACAUUUUCGUCUUACAAUAAUCCUAUGUAUUACGUGUAUAAGAUUAUUUUAACUAAUAAAUACACCAAUUGUCACUUGUUACCUCAUGACGCGACAUGCGCAAAAUUAAGUUGUACAAAGUAAAUGUGUUUCAGAUUAAAAU